rnacentral:rRNA from 1 species
CCUACGGGUGGCAGCAGUGAGGAAUAUUGGUCAAUGGACGCAAGUCUGAACCAGCCAUGCCGCGUGCAGGAAGACGGCUCUAUGAGCUGUAAACUGUUUUUGUACGAGGGUAAACGCAGAUACGCGUAUCUGUCUGAAAGUAUCGUACGAAUAAGUAUCGGCUAACGCCGUGCCAGCAGCCGCGGUAAUACGGAGGAUUCAAGCGUUGUCCGGAUUGAUUGGGUUUAAAGGGUGCGUAGGCGGUCGGAUAAGUGAGAAGUGAAAUCCCGGGGCUCAACUUCGGAAUUGCCAGUGAUACUGUACGGCUAGAGAAUAAGUGCGGUAGGCAGAAUGUAUGGUGUAGCGGUGAAAUGCGUAGAGAUCA